CUACGGGUGGCUGCAGUGGGGAAUUUUGGACAAUGGGGGCAACCCUGAUCCAGCCAUGCCGCGUGAGUGAAGAAGGCCUUCGGGUUGUAAAGCUCUUUCGGCCGGGAAGAAAUCGCUCAAGCUAAUACCUUGGGUGGAUGACGGUACCGGAAGAAGAAGCACCGGCUAACUACGUGCCAGCAGCCGCGGUAAUACGAAGGGUGCGAUCGUUACUCGGAAUUGUUGGGCGUAAAGCGUAUGAGGGCGAUGUGAAAUCCCCGGGCUUAACCUGGGAACUGCGUUUGUGACUGUGGUGCUCGAGUGCGGCAGAGGGGGGUGGAAUUCCACGUGUAGCAGUGAAAUGCGUAGAGAUGUGGAGGAACACCGAUGGCGAAGGCAGCCCCCUGGGUCGACACUGACGCUCAUGCACGAAAGCGUGGGGAGCAAACAGGAUUAGAUACCCGAGUAGUC
rnacentral:rRNA from 1 species